rnacentral:piRNA from 1 species
UAGAAUGUCUCAUCUUUUCUAGGUUGUCAA